GAUUGUGGCUCAGUGGUAGAGCGCUCACCUCGCACGUGUGAGAUCUUGGGUUCCAUCCUCAGUACG
rnacentral:tRNA from 1 species